rnacentral:rRNA from 1 species
GAUGAACGCUGGCGGCGUGCCUAAUACAUGCAAGUCGAGCGAACAGACGAGGAGCUUGCUCCUCUGACGUUAGCGGCGGACGGGUGAGUAACACGUGGAUAACCUACCUAUAAGACUGGGAUAACUUCGGGAAACCGGAGCUAAUACCGGAUAACAUGUUGAACCGCAUGGUUCAACAGUGAAAGACGGUCUUGCUGUCACUUAUAGAUGGAUCCGCGCCGCAUUAGCUAGUUGGUAAGGUAACGGCUUACCAAGGCAACGAUGCGUAGCCGACCUGAGAGGGUGAUCGGCCACACUGGAACUGAGACACGGUCCAGACUCCUACGGGAGGCAGCAGUAGGGAACCUUCCGCAAUGGGCGAAAGCCUGACGGAGCAACGCCGCGUGAGUGAUGAAGGUCUUCGGAUCGUAAAACUCUGUUAUUAGGGAAGAACAAAUGUGUAAGUAACUAUGCACGUCUUGACGGUACCUAAUCAGAAAGCCACGGCUAACUACGUG